rnacentral:tRNA from 3 species
GCCCCGGCGGUGUAGCCCGGUCAAUCAUGCGGGACUUUCGAUCCCGCGACCCGGGUUCAAAUCCCGGCCGGGGCACCA